rnacentral:rRNA from 1 species
UGACGAGUUUGAUCCUGGCUCAGAUUGAACGCUGGCGGCAGGCCUAACACAUGCAAGUCGAGCGGUAGAGAGAAGCUUGCUUCUCUUGAGAGCGGCGGACGGGUGAGUAAUGCCUAGGAAUCUGCCUAGUGGUGGGGGAUAACGUUCGGAAACGGACGCUAAUACCGCAUACGUCCUACGGGAGAAAGCGGGGGACCUUCGGGCCUCGCGCCAUUAGAUGAGCCUAGGUCGGAUUAGCUAGUUGGUGAGGUAAUGGCUCACCAAGGCGACGAUCCGUAACUGGUCUGAGAGGAUGAUCAGUCACACUGGAACUGAGACACGGUCCAGACUCCUACGGGAGCAGCAGUGGGGAAUUUUGGACAAUGGACGCAAGUCUGAUCCCAGCCCA